rnacentral:rRNA from 1 species
UCGGCUAACUCUGUGCCAGCAGCCGCGGUAAGACAGAGGAUGCAAGUGUUAUUCGGAUUGAUUGGGCGUAAAGCGUCUGUAGGCGGUUUGGAAAGUCUUUUGUGAAAUUCUUCAGCUCAACUGGGGGUCCGCAAAAGAAACUUCUAGGCUUGAGGGAAGUAGAGGUACAGGGAAUUUCCGGUGGAGCGGUGAAAUGCGUAGAUAUCGGAAGGAACACCAAUAUGGCGAAGGCACUGUACUGGGCUUUACCUGACGCUAAGAGACGAAAGCUAAAGGAGUGAUUAGGAUUAGAUACCCUAGUAAUUUUAGCCGUAAACGAUGGAAACUCACUGCCGAGCCGGUAUUCGGAGCGGUGGUCAAGCUAACGCGUGAAGUUUCCCGCCUGGGGACUACGCAUGCAAAUGUGAAACUCAAAGGAAUUGACGGGGACCCGCACAAGCGGUGGAGUAUGUGGUUUAAUUCGAUGCAACGCGAAAAACCUUACCAAGGUUUGAAAUCAUUUCAAAACUCUUUGAAAGAAGAGCCUCCUUCGGGAUGGAAUGACAGGUGGUGCAUGGCUGUCGUCAGCUCGUGUUGUGAAAUGUCAAGUUAAGUCUUGUAACGAGCGCAACCCAUGUCUUUUGUUGCUGUUUACAGUGCUUAAAAGAGACUGCCGCUCUACAGCGGAGGAAGGUGUGGAUGAUGUCAAGUCAGCAUGCCCCUUAUAUCUUGGGCUACACACGUACUACAAUGGUAGGGACAAUGAGUCGCAAACCUGCGAAGGCUAGCCAAUCUCAAAAACCCUAUCUCAGUUCGGAUUGUACGCUGCAACUCGC